AUGCUCCCUUUGGCAGCACAUACACUAAAACUGGAAUAAUACAGAUGAGAUUAGCAUGGCCCCUGCACAAGGAUGACAUGCAAAUUCAUGAAGCGUUCUAUUGCUUA